GUUGUGGGCAUUCCAUGUGGGUGUGGGAAUGGGUGCAUUGUGGGUGCCAUAAGUGAUGGCAAUUCUAUCUCAUAUAGGAGUCUUUCUUUCAUAAGUAUUAGACUGAUUCAAAGUAUAUUUGAAUUAGGAGUCCUAUACUUAUUGGGUCAUAGAAAUCAUCUAUAAAUAAAGAGGGUCUCUACCUAUGGAUGUAUAGAAAUCAAAUAGUAAAUAAAUCAGAUUGAGAGAAGAGAGAAAGAG
rnacentral:lncRNA from 1 species